UCUUCCUUACUCUAUUCUAUACAGCCUCUUUUGAUUCAAAUAUUAAUAGAAUCAUCAAUCGAAUUUUCGAGUAGUUUUAAGGCGGAGAAAUGUCGAAUUUUUGUCCUCAUCUAAUUUAUCGAAUCAUUAACUAUCCAGAAUGCUUAAAGGCACGUUCAUCAGAAAAUAAAAAUCAAAUUAAUCGACUUGAUUUCACAUAUACUAAAUGGCUAUUUCGUGAUUUACAUGAUGAUUGUGGUUGUUUUACAUUAUUAUCAAUCACACACACACACACACCAUAACCGUUGCAUAUUAUUUUUCCAGUAUUCUGAAAAAUCAAUUUAAAACGGACGCCACCUCAUAAAAUUACCGAUUAAAAUCCAGAAAAAAAACAAAAAAUUAAAGGGUUGAAAUAAAUUAACAUAACAGCUGUGUUUAUACGAUGAAAGUAUAUCCAGAAAUUUUUUCGUUUACGGUUAAAAAAAAGUAGUGGUAUAGUUUUUUUUUCCCCAUCAAAUAAACAGUUGAUUAUUAGUCGUUUUUUUUAUUCAUUCUUUACAUUCUUGUAUUACAAAAUAUAUAUAUUCGUCGUUGUGUAUAAACAUAGUCAUUAGGGAAUUUAUUUUUUUUUUUGUCUUGCUUUUAACAUCAUUUCGGAUGAAUGGGAUAAAACAAAAUCCUCAUCAAAAUCAUUUUGUUGGGGGGAUUAAAUCGACUCAUCGGUAUAUGUGUGUGUGUGUGUGUGUGAAUGCGCAUAUAAAAUCCAUAAGCAAUGUAUGCAAUCUUGUGUUUGUGUUCAAAAAAAAAAGUAAUAAAUAGAAUUGACAACAAAAAAAAAAAAAAAACCUGAAUGAAUUAACUUGAAUGUCAGCUGAUUAUUUACAAUUACCAACUGAAAAUGUGUGUGUAUUUUUCAUUUGUUUGAUGUUCAUCAAACAAACAAACAAAAAAAAAAUACCAAUACUUUGUGUUUGAAAUUUCCAUAAUCAGAAAACAAAAUAUUAACGUCAACAUAGUAAAGACCAAAAAAUCUAUCAUCAUCAUCAUCAUCAUCAUCGCAUCUAUCACUAUUUUCAAGCAAUAAAUAAAAAAUAAAACUAAAGUCAAUGUAAUAAUAUAUAUUGUGAAUUAUUUGCAAGCUCAUUCUUCACUUCUACAUUCAUUCAUUCAUUCAUUUUUCAUUUUUAUUCAUCGUCAUCAUAUAUACAAAAGCCCUAUAGGCGACAAAUUGAUGAAAAACAACAACAACAGCAGCAGCAGCAGCGACAACCACCAAUAGUUCAUUGAAAACAUAAAUUUUCAUUUUUUUUCUCGAUUUGUUUUUCCAUCUCUUUCUCUAUCACAAAAACAAAUCUGUAUGUGUGUGUGUGUGUUAUAUACUUGAAAGAAUUGAAUGCAAAAAAAAACUUCAAGAAUCAAGAACAGAAUCUUAUGAGCAGAACAUUUUUUUUUGUCAUUACAAUUUUUUUUUUUGCAUAAGUGUGCAGAUAUUUUAUUAAUAGAACGUCAUCAUCAACAUCAGCUUGCCUCUCAAACCUCUCAGCGUAUUGUUAUCAUUGUUAGACGUUGUACAAAAACAGAGGGAAAGAAAAAUUUUUUUUUUCUCUCUCAAAACCAUCAUCACUAGACGACAACAUUCCAUCAUAGAGGAGAAUAUUCUUCAUUAUUUUUAUUCAUUUUUUUCGUCGUCUUCUUCUUCCGUUUAAAAGAAUCUGUUUCAAUCAUUUAUGUUUUAUAAUUGUGAAAAACAAGUGAAGAAAAA